GUUGUUGGAUUGGACUUUGUUGU
rnacentral:miRNA from 1 species